rnacentral:rRNA from 1 species
AACUUGCCUUUGCGAGGGGGAUAACAGUUGGAAACGACUGCUAAUACCGCAUAAUGUCUUCGGACCAAACGGGGCUUCGGCUCCGGCGCAAAGAGAGGCCCAAGUGAGAUUAGCUAGUUGGUAAGGUAACGGCUUACCAAGGCGACGAUCUCUAGCUGUUCUGAGAGGAAGAUCAGCCACACUGGGACUGAGACACGGCCCAGACUCCUACGGGAGGCAGCAGUGGGGAAUAUUGCACAAUGGGGGAAACCCUGAUGCAGCCAUGCCGCGUGUGUGAAGAAGGCCUUCGGGUUGUAAAGCACUUUCAGUUGUGAGGAAAAGUUAGUAGUUAAUACCUGCUAGCCGUGACGUUAACAACAGAAGAAGCACCGGCUAACUCCGUGCCAGCAGCCGCGGUAAUACGGAGGGUGCGAGCGUUAAUCGGAAUUACUGGGCGUAAAGCGCACGCAGGCGGUUUGUUAAGCUAGAUGUGAAAGCCCCGGGCUCAACCUGGGAUGGUCAUUUAGAACUGGCAGACUAGAGUCUUGGAGAGGGGAGUGGAAUUCCAGGUGUAGCGGUGAAAUGCGUAGAUAUCUGGAGGAACAUCAGUGGCGAAGGCGACUCCCUGGCCAAAGACUGACGCUCAUGUGCGAAAGUGUGGGUAGCGAACAGGAUU